UUGUUACAGAAACAUCAUUAUCAAAGUCACGAGAUUCUGGAAUGGGACUGACCAUCAUUACUCUACGUUUCAUCUUUGGUGGAUUCCUUAUAGGAGUUAUUAUAAUUCUGUGUUUUCAUGAACUGAAGAACAGUUUGGAAGAGCCUAAGAUCAAGACAAAU